UGGAUCCAGACUUUGAUCCUGGCUCAGGACGAACGCUGGCGGCGUGCCUAACACAUGCAAGUCGAGCGGAGACAGUGAGUAGCUUGCUACGAACUGUUUUAGCGGCGGACGGGUGAGUAACGCGUGAGCAACCUUUCCCAGACAGGGGAAUAACACACCGAAAGGUGUACUAAUACCGCAUAAGACCACGGGAUCACAUGGUUCUGGGGUAAAAGAUUUAUCGGUUUGGGGUGGGCUCGCGUCCGAUUAGGUAGUUGGUGAGGUAACGGCCCACCAAGCCGACGAUCGGUAGCCGACCUGAGAGGGUGAUCGGCCACAUUGGGACUGAGACACGGCCCAAACUCCUACGGGAGGCAGCAGUGGGGAAUAUUGGGCAAUGGAGGAAACUCUGACCCAGCAACGCCGCGUGGAGGAAGAAGGUUUUCGGAUCGUAAACUCCUGUCCUUGGAGACGAGUAGAAGACGGUAUCCAAGGAGGAAGCCCCGGCUAACUACGUGCCAGCAGCCGCGGUAAUACGUAGGGGGCAAGCGUUGUCCGGAAUAAUUGGGCGUAAAGGGCGCGUAGGCGGCUCGGUAAGUCUGGAGUGAAAGUCCUGCUUUUAAGGUGGGAAUUGCUUUGGAUACUGUCGGGCUUGAGUGCAGGAGAGGUUAGUGGAAUUCCCAGUGUAGCGGUGAAAUGCGUAGAGAUUGGGAGGAACACCAGUGGCGAAGGCGACUAACUGGACUGUAACUGACGCUGAGGCGCGAAAGUGUGGGGAGCAAACAGGAUUAGAUACCCUGGUAGUCCACACUGUAAACGAUGAAUGCUAGGUGUAGGGGGUAUCGACCCCUUCUGUGCCGCAGUUAACACAAUAAGCAUUCCGCCUGGGGAGUACGGCCGCAAGGUUGCAACUCAAAGGAAUUGACGGA
rnacentral:rRNA from 1 species